rnacentral:lncRNA from 1 species
AUUCAGUGAGUCAGCAGCACAGCUCCUCCAGCACGCAGAGAACAGCGGUCCAUGGAGGGAGGGCGUGAGCCUGGGGUUUUACUGAGGAAGGAUAGUGGGUUUUUCAGUCCCUGAAGCUGCUGCUCUGCCCACUCAGGAAGGUGAGGAAGGCAGACGACAGCGUACAUCCAGCCUCUGCUCUUGAGAUCUUCCCGGAUUCUUACUCUUGCUUCCAGCUUCUGACCCAAGAGAAGCACCCGGUUCACGAAUGAUUCCCACCAGUGCCAGCAUCGUGCGCUUCCAACUUUCCCAAUUUCAGGGCUCCCUGUUGGCCAGAGCCAACCAGAAGGAGGAGAGCAAGAAGCCACGGACACUGUCAGCGUCCAUGCCACAACCUCACAGGCAUGGCCAGGGGGAGCGGUGGGUGGCCCAGCCUGCGAGAGAAGCAGACCCUGCUCAGCCCACCCCUGAGAUCACGCAGCCGGCACCGGCGCACUCUGGGGGGACUCUGGGCCCUGCUCUCACCUCGUGAGUCUGAACAAGUCACCUCUUCUCUCUACGCUUUAAACGCUGCAUCUGUACGGCAGAGAUAAAACUGCAGCUCCUCCACGGGGCUUCCGUGAGGGUUAAUGAAGUAACACACGCACGGCAGCUGACAUGCAGCAAGGGCUCAGCCACCGUGAGCUUCUCAGCCUCCCCGGGGCUGCAGACCCAGCACCUGGGGCCUCACCUUCCCAGAGACUGGCCCAGGUGGUAAAGCGGCAGCGCGAACUUCCUAGGAGUGAGGGACGAGGGUGAACAAAGGGCAUGGGAGGGAACAAGGGCAUAUUUCCUACCCCUUAAAUUCAAGCAGCUCUUCGAGGUCCCAAGAGCACUUUCAGCUGAAUGCACAUGGAUGCCGUGAGGCCGCUGGAGACGGUGCGUUGUCUGAAUGGUGCGGAGAGAGCUCCCGAGGCUCACAAAGGCUGGGCGAUGUGCCCAAGGCCGUAUGGCUUGUUACCCGCGGUGCAGCCAUCAGUCCUGGAUCUGAUUCCAGAUUCUGAGUAUCUGCCGUGCACAUGUGUGUGUACGCGGCCUGAAGCAGGCAUAUCUGCCUAUGCUAAUGCAUGCACUUUACACACACAGAGCCUGGGUGCAUGUGUCUCUGUGCUCAGUCUCCCCACAGGUACGGCAGCCCCCCUGAGGGCAGGCAUUGUGCCUGAUGCACCUUUGUCUCCAGCAGCACACAGUCAGGGCUCAGCCCACGUGUGGGCCAGUGCAGCGUUUUCUCCAGAGCCUGCUCCAGGAAGAGGAGGAAAUCUUCUCUCUGACUACUGGGAACUUAACAGGAAGAGGAGGGACAAGUGUGCUCCUAUCUGCCUACUUGUUCUCCCUCCAUGCUGAGGUUUUUCUACCUCCACAUGAUUAAAAAACGGCAAAUAAGUUAGCAUAUGAAAAUAUGUAGCAAGGGUGAAAAUGGCCCUGCGGGAGGUCACAGCCAUAGUGACAGUGUUCCAGGCUUCCAGGUGUACCUGCCACACCGGGCCGAGUGGAAAGAAGGCCUUCCCAGAAGGGCGCCAUCUCAGUGUUGGCAAGGCCAAGGCUCCUACAUGACUUUCUUUCCAGAAUCGGUGUAACAGUCCCAUAAAGGAUGCUUCAGUUUUCCAGCAAUCUCCUCUCCUGGGUGUGGGCACUGCUGGCAAGCAAAUCAAUUGGUCCCACAGCUCUGCCAUCCAAGACACAGAGCUGAGCUGACAUCCUCCAGAGAACCCCAGAGACUCACACCUGGGCACCUGGGCCCGUUCAACACGGAGCAACAGGCAGGCACUGAGCGUGCUGUCAGCUGAGCAGUGAAAAGGGACGAGCUGCUAUGUCAAAAAUGACACGCCGGCUUCUGCUGGUCUUGCAAAAGAGCUCUGCAGUGAUGUGACUGCAGCUGACAUCCCGCAACAGCAGCGGCUGGUUUCUGUGCUGGAUUGAAAUUCAUCCAGCUCCCUGUGUUCACAGCGAUGACUUCCAAUGCUAAUUCUCAGCGAGCAGGGCAUGAAAUAUAUUCACAGGCGCUGCUUGGUGAGGGCCCUUUGGAGUUAUUUGAGGUACCUGUGAUGAAAACAUCUGUGCCACUUGCUUUUGUGCAUUUUUGUUCCCUUGGUUUCAAUUAUGCAAAGAAUCUUUGGGCAAGAGAAAGAGAGAGGGGGAGAGAGAGAGUUUGCUGAUGUAGUCUUUUUCCUUUUUGAUAAGAGUGAGUGCCUGGUCUGAUGCCUGAACAGGGGAAGCAUAAGAAGAGAGAGGCAGACUUUCAUCUUCCGCAAAGACACAGGGACGUGCUCUGCCUCAUGCAAAUGAGCUGUUCUAAAAGCGUCCCUGUGUCCUGCUGAGCCGCCUGGGCUCCCUUAGCCCUUCUCUCCACAGGACAAAUAAAGGGUGAGUUUACUGA